rnacentral:miRNA from 1 species
UGUGUUAGUGUGAGUGUGUGUUAGAGUGUGUGUGUUAACACACACUCUAACACACACACACACUAACACACA